GUGCCAGCCGCCGCGGUAAUACGGAGGGUGCAAGCGUUGUUCGGAAUUAUUGGGCGUAAAGCGCGUGCAGGCGGCUCGCUAAGUCUGAUGUGAAAGCCCCGGGCUCAACCCGGGAAGUGCAUUGGAAACUGGCGAACUUGAGUACGGGAGAGGGAAGUGGAAUUCCGAGUGUAGGGGUGAAAUCCGUAGAUAUUCGGAGGAACACCAGUGGCGAAGGCGGCUUCCUGGACCGAUACUGACGCUGAGACGCGAAAGCGUGGGGAGCAAACAGGAUUAGAUACCCCUGUAGUCC
rnacentral:rRNA from 1 species